UCUUACACAAGUCAUACAAUGUAUUGUACAGAGGGUUGCCAACCCGCGAGGGGGAGCUAAUCCCAUAAAGCCAGUCGUAGUCCGGAUCGCAGUCUGCAACUCGACUGCGUGAAGUCGGAAUCGCUAGUAAUCGCGGAUCAGAAUGUCGCGGUGAAUACGUUCCCGGGUCUUGUACACACCGCCCGUCACACCAUGGGAGCGGGUUCUGCCAGAAGUAGGUAGCCUAACCGUAAGGAGGGCGCUUACCACGGCAGGGUUCGUGACUGGGGA
rnacentral:rRNA from 1 species